rnacentral:rRNA from 1 species
AUUGAACGCUGGCGGCAGGCCUAACACAUGCAAGUCGAACGGUAACAGGAAGAAGCUUGCUUCUUUGCUGACGAGUGGCGGACGGGUGAGUAAUGUCUGGGAAACUGCCUGAUGGAGGGGGAUAACUACUGGAAACGGUAGCUAAUACCGCAUAACGUCGCAAGACCAAAAAGGGGGACCUUCGGGCCUCUUGCCAUCGGAUGUGCCCAGAUGGGAUUAGCUAGUAGGUGGGGUAACGGCUCACCUAGGCGACGAUCCCUAGCUGGUCUGAGAGGAUGACCAGCCACACUGGAACUGAGACACGGUCCAGACUCUACGGAGCAGCAGUGGGGAAUAUUGCACAAUGGGCGCAAGCCUGAUGCAGCCAUG